rnacentral:rRNA from 1 species
AUACGUAGGUGACAAGCGUUAUCCGGAUUUACUGGGCGUAAAGGGCGUGUAGGCGGUCUUGCAAGUCAGAAGUGAAAUUCCUGAGCUCAACUCGGGCGCUGCUUCUGAAACUGCAGGACUUGAGUGCUGGAGGGGAUAGCGGAAUUCCUAGUGGGGCGGUAAAAUGGGCAGAUAUUAGGAAGAACACCGGUGGCGAAGGCGGGUAUCUGGGCAGUAACUGACGCUGAGGCGCGAAAGCGUGGGGAGCGAACAGGAUUAGAUACCCUGGUAGUCCACGCUGUAAACGAUGGGUGCUAGGUGUGGGGGGUAUCAGCCCCCUCCGUGCCGAAGUUAACGCAAUAAGCGUCCCGCCUGGGGAGUACGGCCGCAAGGUUGAAACUCAAAGGAAUUGACGGGG